UGAGCAACCUGCCCUUGACUCUGAAUAACAGUUGGAAACAGCUGCUAAUACCGGAUGCGACCUCCGACGGCAUCAUCUGGAGGUGGAAAGCUCCGACGGUCAAGGAUGGGCUCGCGGCCUAUCAGCUAGUUGGUGUGGGUAAUGGCCCACCAAGGCGACGACGGGUAGCCGGCCUGAGAGGGUGACCGGCCACACUGGGACUGAGACACGGCCCAGACUCCGUAGGGAGG
rnacentral:rRNA from 1 species